GACGAACGCUGGCGGCGUGCCUAAUACAUGCAAGUUGAGCGAUGAAGAUUGGUGCUUGCACCAAUUUGAAGAGCAGCGAACGGGUGAGUAACGCGUGGGGAAUCUGCCUUUGAGCGGGGGACAACAUUUGGAAACGAAUGCUAAUACCGCAUAACAACUUUAAACAUAAGUUUUAAGUUUGAAAGAUGCAAUUGCAUCACUCAAAGAUGAUCCCGCGUUGUAUUAGCUAGUUGGUGAGGUAAAGGCUCACCAAGGCGAUGAUACAUAGCCGACCUGAGAGGGUGAUCGGCCCCAUUGGGACUGAGACACGGCCCCAACUCCUACGGGAGGCAGCAGUAGGGAAUCUUCGGCAAUGGACGAAAGUCUGACCGAGCAACGCCGCGUGAGUGAAGAAGGUUUUCGGAUCGUAAAACUCUGUUGGUAGAGAAGAACGUUGGUGAGAGUGGAAAGCUCAUCAAGUGACGGUAACUACCCAGAAAGGGACGGCUAACUACGUG
rnacentral:rRNA from 1 species